rnacentral:rRNA from 1 species
UACAGAGGGUGCGAGCGUUAUUCGGAAUUACUGGGCGUAAAGCGCGCGUAGGCGGCUUUGCAAGUCGGGCGUGAAAUCCCCAGGCUUAACCUGGGAACUGCAUUCGAGACUGCAUUGCUAGAGUAUGGGAGAGGGAAGUGGAAUUUCCGGUGUAGCGGUGAAAUGCGUAGAUAUCGGAAGGAACAUCAGUGGCGAAAGCGACUUCCUGGACCAAUACUGACGCUCAUGUGCGAAAGCGUGGGGAGCAAACAGG